rnacentral:rRNA from 1 species
UACGGGGGGGGCAAGCGUUGUUCGGAAUUACUGGGCGUAAAGGGCUCGUCGGCGGCCAACUAAGUCAGACGUGAAAUCCCUCGGCUUAACCGGGGAACUGCGUCUGAUACUGGAUGGCUUGAGGUUGGGAGAGGGAUGCGGAAUUCCAGGUGUAGCGGUGAAAUGCGUAGAUAUCUGGAGGAACACCGGUGGCGAAGGCGGCAUCCUGGACCAAUUCUGACGCUGAGGAGCGAAAGCCAGGGGAGCAAACGGG